rnacentral:rRNA from 1 species
AAACGAUUGAAGUCAGUCGUGCUCUUUGGAUUCAGCCGGUUCUGCCGGUGUACUUCCUUUGAGUGGGGUCAACAUCAGUUUUGAUCGCUGGAUAAAGGCUGGAGGAACGUAGUACCCUCGGGUAAACUUAUAGCCUCCUGUCACAUACAGUGGUUGGGACUGAGGAACGCAGCACGCCUUUAUGGCCGGGAUUCGUCCACGUACGUGCUUAGGAUGUUGACAUAAUGGCUUUAAACGA